UGGUGCAUGGUUGUCGUCAGCUCGUGUCGUGAGAUGUUGGGUUAAGUCCGCAACGAGCGCAACCCCUCGUGGCUAGUUGCCAGCAAGUAGCGUUGGGCACUCUAGCCAGACUGCCGGUGAUAAAUCGGAGGAAGGUGGGGACGACGUCAAAUCAUCAUGCCCUUUAUGUCCUGGGCUACACACGUACUACAAUGGCCGUUACAACGGGAAGCGAAGGAGCAAUCCGGAGCAAAUCCCUUAAAGGCGGUCCCAGUUCAGAUUGUGGGCUGAAACUCGCCCACAUGAAGGCGGAAUUGCUAGUAAUUGCAGAUCAGCAUGCUGCAGUGAAUACGUUCCCGGGCCUU
rnacentral:rRNA from 1 species